GUGAGGAAUAUUGGUCAAUGGGCGGAAGCCUGAACCAGCCAAGUCGCGUGAAGGAAGAAGGAUCUAUGGUUUGUAAACUUCUUUUGAAGGGGGAUAAAGUGCGUCACGAGUGGUGCAUUGCAGGUACCCUUGGAAUAAGCAUCGGCUAACUCCGUGCCAGCAGCCGCGGUAAUACGGAGGAUGCGAGCGUUAUCCGGAUUUAUUGGGUUUAAAGGGUGCGUAGGUGGCUUUUUAAGUCAGCGGUGAAAACUGGCGGCUCGACCGCAAGAGUGCCGUUGAAACUGGGGAGCUAGAGUAUGAACGAGGUAGGCGGAAUGUGUGGUGUAGCGGUGAAAUGCAUAGAUAUCACGCAGAACUCCGAUAGCGAAGGCAGCUUACCAGGCCAUAACAGACACUGAAGCACGAAAGCGUGGGGAUCGAACAGGAUUAGAUACCCCGGUAGUCC
rnacentral:rRNA from 1 species